UACGUAGGGGGCUAGCGUUGUCCGGAAUCAUUGGGCGUAAAGCGCGUGUAGGCGGUCCGGUAAGUCCGCUGUGAAAGUCGGGGGCUCAACCCUCGAAUGCCGGUGGAUACUGUCGGGCUAGAGUGCGGAAGAGGCGAGUGGAAUUCCUGGUGUAGCGGUGAAAUGCGCAGAUAUCAGGAGGAACACCUAUUGCGAAGGCAGCUCGCUGGGACCGUUACUGACGCUGAGACGACGAAGCGUGGGGAGCAAACAGG
rnacentral:rRNA from 1 species